rnacentral:rRNA from 1 species
UACAGAGGUCCCAAGCGUUGUUCGGAUUCACUGGGCGUAAAGCGCACGUAGGCGGCUUUCUAAGUCAGAGGUGAAAUCCCGGAGCUCAACUCCGGAACUGCCUUUGAUACUGGAAAGCUUGAGUCGGGAGAGGUGAGUGGAACUGCGAGUGUAGAGGUGAAAUUCGUAGAUAUUCGCAAGAACACCAGUGGCGAAGGCGGCUCACUGGCCCGGUACUGACGCUGAGGUGCGAAAGCGUGGGAGCAAACAGG